CCUACGGGAGGCAGCAGUAGGGAAUUUUCCACAAUGGGCGAAAGCCUGAUGGAGCAACGCCGCGUGAGCGAAGAAGGUCUUCGGAUCGUAAAGCUCUGUUGUAAGGGAAGAACAAGUGCGGUAGUAACUGACCGCACCCUGACGGUACCUUACGAGAAAGCCACGGCUAACUACGUGCCAGCAGCCGCGGUAAU
rnacentral:rRNA from 1 species